rnacentral:rRNA from 1 species
AGUGAACGCUGGCGGUAGGCCUAACACAUGCAAGUCGAACGGCAGCACAGUAAGAGCUUGCUCUUACGGGUGGCGAGUGGCGGACGGGUGCGGAAUACAUCGGAAUCUACUUUUUCGUGGGGGCUAACGUCGGGAAACUUACGCUAAUACCGCAUACGACCUCCGGGUGAAAGCAGGGGAUCUUCGGACCUUGCGCGAUUGAAUGAGCCGAUGUCGGAUAAGCUAGGUGGCGGGGUAAAGGCCCACCAAGGCGACGAUCCGUAGCUGGUCUGAGAGGAUGAUCAGCCACACUGGAACUGAGACACAGUCCAGACUCCUACGGGGAGCAGCAGUGGGGAAUAUUGGGCGAUGGGCGCAAGCCUGAUCCAGCCAUACCGCGUAGGUGAAGAAGGCCUUCGGGUUGUAAAGCCCUUUUGUUGUGAGAGAAGAGCAGCAGGUUAAUACCCCGCGGUUCUGACGGUACCCAAAGAAUAAGCACCGGCUAACUUCGUG